rnacentral:misc_RNA from 1 species
GUGAACGCCCUCACGGGCUUAUACUAUUCCAAACCUCUGUGAACCGUGCCCUUCGGGGCUAUUUUACCAACAUCGGUGUAAUGAACGUCAUAUAUCAUAACAAAACAA